AAUGGUGUAUUUUGAUUUUUGAUAAAAGUUUUGAAUAAUGGUACAGAGAGCAUUAUGCUAGACCACAUAACAUACUAGUUAUAAAUUAAGACUAGAAUUCUCAGAGGGUGUGUGUGUGUGUGUGUGUAUAGGUAUGUAUCUGCUUUAAAAGCAUUUCUAAAACAUUGAAUCAAAACAAAUAUAUUAAAAUUGUCUAGAUCUUCAUUAAAAAAACAUAUUAAGCACAAGGUAUAAAUGCAAGGUAUCCAGUGACAGACACUGAGAAAUACAGGACAAUUUUGCUCUAAGAAAAACCUAAAGAUUCUCUGGGGAGACAAGACAGGUAACUAACUAGAAGACACCUAUGUGAUAAAUCAAUGAUAAAGGCAGUCAAAUCAGGCACAAAUAAGCUGGCAUUCAAAGAGCUCGGCAGGCAGUUCAAUGAAAUGGAAAGUCAUUAUGUGACAGGAUAUUUGGAUAAGAUUUCCUGGAUCAUCUACUCUGAAAGACGUGUGGGAGGUUAGAUAGCUCAGGAUGAGGGGUGCACUGGAGAAGAAUA